rnacentral:lncRNA from 1 species
GCAGGAACAUUAAGAUGCUUCGAUCCGAUCGAGGUAGUGUGCAACAACGUAACUUUUCAAAACAAAUUUUCACAAUUUACAAACACACUUUCAUUCAUAAUAAUUAUAAAAAUGUCAUUGUAUCACAUAACAAUGCAUUACAUCACAUCCCAAGAUCAUAACAUGUAAAACUCCUCGCGUAUGUACUGGUCAUGUCGACGCCUUCUCGCGAUCGUCAGUAGUACUUGAACACAUAACACAACACUGUAAGCAUAAAUUCUUAGUGAGUUCCCCAAAAUACCACAUGCCACACAUACGCCUUUCCAGGACCUAACUCUAUGGGAUCUUCUGAUCNNNUCCGUCCCAAAUCCUGGUAGACCUUCCAGUCCUACCCGUAUCGACCUUCCGGUCCGUGAUCGACCUUCCGGUCCGUGACCUCUUGACCUUUCGGUCCAUAUCAUCUUAACCUUCUGGUCCAUAUCAUGCAUAGCAUACAUAACACAUAGAUAUCACAUUCAUAUCACAUACAUAUCACAUAACAACAUAUAGCACAUGCAUCUCAUAGUAUACAAUACCUUCCGGUCGCACAUAGGUACCCUUCCAGGUACAGUAUAUUGAGAAGACUCACCUCGGGAACUCAGUAAUCUCGAACUCUGUGAAAUCGGGUCUAGCCUCCGCCUAAUCAUAUGAAAUAAAUACUCUACAUCAAUACAUUUCCCCAAGGCUAGACUCUUUCCUUUCUUAUCAUUCUCAGCAGGGUAAAAGACCAUUUUACCCCUUUCAUGGCUCAAAGCCCCAAAAGUUGACCAAACCCUAAAAGUCAACAAAAGCCAACCCUCCGGGUUACACUGCGUGUACCAAACAUGUAUGUUGGGCGUACCCGACAUCGUCACAGAAAUGGGGUACACGCCCCCUUACGCUGCGCGUACUGGGAUUACGCCCCGUGUAACUCCCAGUUUCAGUAUUUCAGUUCCUGAGGUAUUAAUCAGUUAAGACCCACGUCCAACUUCUAGAUCUGACCAUUUCUAAGCCUCCUAAUCCAUAUAGUCGAUGAAUUUAAGCCUUUGCAUGGCUGAACAAGCCAUUAACCCCCAUAUUAUCCCAUUUCCAACCCUAAGAGGCAUCAAACUAAAGCAUGUCCUCGUAUCAACGACCAAUAUGGAAACUUUAUGGAUCUAAACCACAAAUACCACUGAAAAGGGACAGAUCUCGGACCAUGGAGCACUUAUACUCAUAAAGUCUCCACCUUUGGGACUUUUAGCCCUAAAAAUGGCCCAUGCAAUAACAAACCAAAAUGAAGAGGACAUUUUUGAACUUUAUACCUCUAAAUGCAGCUCCUUCCUUUGUGGAUCUCAGAUCUAAACCUGCACUCCAAGCUACUCCUUCUUCUUCACUAACACACCAAGGCACUUUUAGCUCCAAAAUCACACACAGUCACUUAGGACGAUGGAAGGUGUUGGAUUAAUGUCUAAGUCCAUAACUAUAAUUGGUAAGACUUGACCCGACCCGACAUGGUCCAUUUGGGUUGCAUGGCAUCAUGCACUUGGAUAGACUACAUGAGAGAAAUAAGACACUUAUGGUUAUUAAUAUAUUAUAAGUUCUAGUAUAUUAAUAAUAAGAAUAAUAAGAUUAUUUAAUUAGUAUUGAUCAAGAAUUAAUCUAGGAUUAAUUAAGUGAUCAAAAGAAGACUAAUUAAAUAUAUGGGUUGAUUGUGCAAAUCAUCCAUAACUUAUAUAGUGGGCCAAAGCUCCAUGGAUAAUCAAGUUGGGUUAAACCCAUAGGAUGCUCCAUGGAGGUGUCAUAACCCAUGGGUCAUGGAAAUGAAAGGUUAUGACAAUUAGGGUUUACAUGGUGUAACACUAAUUGUAACACACUAUAUAAGCAUCAUAUUAUUCACAAAAAUCGGUACUAGUGUGUGUAAUAGAAGGGGUAGCCGAUUUUCAUGAAGAGUAGAAUUCUCUAAAGUUAUUCCAAGUGUAUUUGGUGUUGUNAGCUACAAUACUUGAACACAUAACACAACACUGUAAGCAUAAAUUCUUAGUGAGUUCCCCAAAAUACCACAUGCCACACAUACGCCUUUCCAGGACCCAACUCUGCGGGAUCUUCCGAUCCUAGUCUAUCAGGGGACAUCC